rnacentral:lncRNA from 1 species
UUUUUUAAAACAGUGGAAUUUACUCAAUUAUAGUGAGAACAAAAAUGUUUUUGUACCUCAAAUAUAUAAUAUAAAAAUUUAAAUUAAAAAUAUUCAUUUCUUCUUUAUCUCCUUUUAAUUUCUAUACUUGUGUACAUUUAUAAUAUAUAUAUGUUAUAGGUGGACAUCAUUUAGAAAUAAUAUAUAAUAUACAUUUAUAUUAAUAUAUACAAUAUAUUAAUAUGUAAUACACAUGUAUAUAUGUAAUAUAUAAUACACAUGUAUAUGUGUAAUAUAUAAUACACAUGUAUAUAAUACACAUGUAUAUGUGUAAUAUAUAAUACACAUGUAUAUGUGUAAUAUAUAAUACACAUGUAUAUGUGUAAUAUAUAAUACACAUGUAUAUGUGUAAUAUAUAAUACACAUGUAUAUGUGUAAUAUAUAAUACACAUGUAUAUGUGUAAUAUAUAAUACACAUGUAUAUGUGUAAUAUAUAAUACACAUGUAUAUGUGUAAUAUAUAAUACACAUGUAUAUGUGUAAUAUAUAAUACACAUGUAUAUGUGUAAUAUAUAAUACACAUGUAUAUGUGUAAUAUAUAAUACACAUGUAUAUGUGUAAUAUAUAAUACACAUGUAUAUGUGUAAUAUAUACAUAGUCAUAGGUGGACAUCGUUUAGAAAUAAAUAAAUUGGGCUGGGCGCGGUGGCUCAUGCCUGUGAUCCCAGCACUUUGGGAGGCCAAGGUAGGCAGAUCGCUUGUGCCUAAGAGUUUGAGACCAGCCUGGGAAACAUGUCGAGACCCCAUCUCUAAAAAAAAUACAAAAAUUAGCUGAGUGUGGUGGCACAUGCCUGUAGUCUCAGCUACAUAGGAGGCUAAGGCCGGAGGAUAACCUGAGCAUGGGGAGGUCAAGGCUUCAGUGAGCCAUGAUCGUGGUACUACACUCCAGCCUGGGUGACAGAGUAAGACUCGAUCUCAAAAAUACAAUACAAUACAAUACAAUAAAUUAAAAUGAAUAUACUAGAGAUUCAUGCUCAAGCAUUUGUAUUGAUACGGAGUGUUUUCAAAAGGGUUUGGAACCACUGCUGUAGGAAGACAGGUCUGAGCCUAUGUAUGAGAUAAAAGAACAGAAACGACAAAAAGAUGAGAGGACAGAAGGCUAGUCAGUUACUUCUGCAAUACGAUAUUCCAGGCCGGUGUUAAUAAGAGGCUGAAUUAAGGUGGUGACAUUUUCAAUGGAAAGGAACAGACUUAAUGGAAUGAGAUAAUGAGAAGACGGAAGUAAUAAAUGUUGACAACCAAUGACACAUAGAAAGCAGGGGAGAAGGAAGUGUCAGUAACUGAAUUGAGAGAAAGACAAAGUUAUUGAGGAAUAAAACAAUGAAUUUUGUUUUAAAUAUGUUGAACUUUAGUGCCUUGGGAACAUUAAGUGAAAGGACCUAUGGACCAGUUGAAAAAAAGAAACUGGUGCUGGCUUCAGCAGCACAUACACUAAAAUUGGAAUGAUGCAGAAAUUAUCAUGGCCCCUGUACAAGGAUGACAUGCAAAUUCGUGAAGGCUUCUGUGUUUCUUUUUUUUUUUAAAGAAAAAACUGGAUGACAACGGCUAACAAUUACUUUUUAGAGAAGUUCAUGUGUUUUGCAAUCUAACGUACAUUACUGUAAAGAUAACAUGACUUCGUGGAAACCAACAGCCUUGACUUCUUAAAAUAUGAACACCUUUUGGAGGCAUCCACAACUUGUUUUUCCCCCCAGGACUUCCCACUGUAGCAGAAGACAAAAAAGAGAGAGAAUACAGUGGAUUAAUAUGUGGCCAUUGCUUUGGGAAACUCAGGUUCCGAACCCACUCUACCAUUUUGUAGUAAUGAAACUCUGGAGAUUUAUUUAACACUUCUAAGGUUUAGUCCCCUUAUUGUUAAAUAAUGGCAUAAUAAUACUUAUUUUAUAUACUUAUUGUGAGAAUUAAAUGAGCAAAUAUAUGCAAAGUGCUUAUGUCCUUGCCUUGUAUAGUUAAGCAUUAAAUAAAAAAUAGUUCUAAUUAUUAUCUAUUCACUAUAGCUCUUGGAAAAUAAAUUGACUACUAUAUUGUCUCUGAUCUUAGCCUACUAUAUCAUAUUCUACAUAUUCACAUGUGUGUGCUCAUACAUACACCAAAAAAUAAAGAUCAUUCGCAAAGUUUUUAGUAUUUGAAACCUAGACUGAGAAAGAAUGUUAAAAUUCUCAUAUUUGGAUCAAACCUAUAAUAAUAUGAUCCUUACAUCUACAUAGAAUUUUUCAGUCACAGAAAUUAUAUACAUUCAUAAAGCACAACAGAAAUCCACCAUAUCUAUACUUGGUGUCCUUUAGGCAGAGAGCAGAGCAAAGUGGAGAAUAAAAAUAUUCAAAGAAAAAAGGUAUACUUUCCUGAAAUGAAGAACAGAAGCUACAAAUUUAAAAGAUACAGGC